rnacentral:rRNA from 1 species
CCGCUAUUGGAGUUCGAUUAAGCCAUGCGAGUCGAGAGUCUUAGGGACUCGGCGUACCGCUCAGUAACACGUGGGUAACCUGCCCUAUGCUGGGGAAUAACCUCGGGAAACUGAGAAUAAUGCCCCAUAGUCCACAAUGCCUGGAACGGUUUGUGGAUCAAAGCUCCGGCGGCAUAGGAUGGGCCUGCGGCGUAUCAGGUUGUAGGGGGUGUAACGUACCCUCUAGCCAUCAACGCGUACGGGUGUUGGGAGACAUAGCCCGGAGAUGGAUUCUGAGACACGAAUCCAGACCCUACGGGGUGCAGCAGGCGCGAAAACUUGGCAAUGCGAGAAAUCGUGACCAGGGAACUCCAGUGCUGGGGUAAGACCCAGUCUUUUUCUUGACUCUUCAACGGUCUUGGAAUAAGGGGUGGGUAAAGGACGGUGCCAGCCGCCGCGGUAAUACCGGCGCCUCAAGUGGUAGUCGAUUUUAUUGGGCCUAAAACGUCCGUAGCCUGUUUGGUACAUUUCGUGGGUAAAUCAACCAGCUCAACUGGUUGAAUUCUGCGAGCACGGCCAGACUUGGGACCGGGAGAGGUGUGGGGUACGCUCAGGGUAGGGGUAAAAUCCUGUCAUCCUGAGCGGACCACCUGUUGCGAAGGCGCCACACUAGAACGGAUCCGACGGUCAGGGACGAAGCCUAGGGGCACGAACCGGAUUAGAUACCCGGGUAGUCCUAGGUGUAAACGCUGUGGACUUGGUGUUGGGGACUCUCCGAGAUUCCUCAGUGCCGAAGCGAAGGUGAUAAGUCCACUGCCUGGGGAGUACGGUCGCAAGGCUGAAACUUAAAGGAAUUGGCGGGGGAGCACCGCAACCUGAGGAUUGUGCGG